CUUAAGCAUAUCAAUAAGCGGAGGAAAAGAAACUAACAAGGAUUCCCCUAGUAACUGCGAGUGAAGAGGGAAGAGCUCAAAUUUUGAAUCUGGCGGUCGUGUGGCCGUCCGAGUUGUAAUCUAGAGAAGCGUCUUCCGCGUCGGACCCGUGUACAAGUCUCCUGGAAGGGAGCGUCAUAAGGGUGAGAAUCCCGUCUUUGACACGGACGAACCGAGGCUAUGUGAUGCGCUCUCGACGAGUCGAGUUGUUUGGGAAUGCAGCUCAAAACGGGUGGUAAAUUCCAUCUAAAGCUAAAUACAGGCGAGAGACCGAUAGCGAACAAGUACCGUGAGGGAAAGAUGAAAAGAACUUUGGAAAGAGAGUUAAACAGUAUGUGAAAUUGCUGGAAGGGAAACGUUUGAUGUCAGUCGCGUCGGCUGGGGGUCAAUCUGGCUUGAUUGCUGGGUGUAUUUCCUGGUCGACGGGUCAGCGUCAGUUUUCGUCGCUCGUACAAUGGCAGAGGGAAAGUGGCACUCUUUCGGGAGUGUGUUAUAGCCCUCGGUCGUAUGCGGCGGUGGGGACUGAGGAACUCAGCACAGCGAUGUGUUUAGGAUGCUGGCAUAAUGGCCUUAAGCGACCCGUCUUGAAACACGGACCAAGGAGUCUAACAUGCCUGCGAGUGUUUGGGUGGGCAAACUCGAGCGCGAAAUGAAAGUGAAACGGUCGAGACCUCUGUCAUGGAGGGCAUCGACGCCCGGACUCGAGUCAUUGACAAAGGAUCUGCGGUAGAGCAUGCAUGUUAGGACCCGAAAGAUGGUGAACUAUGCCUGAAUAGGGUGAAGCCAGAGGAAACUCUGGUGGAGGCUCGUAGCGAUUCUGACGUGCAAAUCGAUCGUCGA
rnacentral:rRNA from 2 species